ACGAGUGGCGCACGGGUGCGUAACGCGUAUGCAACCUACCCUUUACUGGGGGAUAGCCCGGAGAAAUUCGGAUUAAUACCCCAUGGUACUAUAAUAUAGCAUUAUAUAAUAGUUAAAGAUUUAUUGGUAAAGGAUGGGCAUGCGUGACAUUAGUUAGUUGGUAAGGUAGCGGCUUACCAAGACGAUGAUGUCUAGGGGUUCUGAGAGGAAGGUCCCCCACACUGGUACUGAGACACGGACCAG
rnacentral:rRNA from 1 species